GACUGAGUUUUCCCCUGACGGGAGCGAGCAGGGCUGGAGCACCGGACGCGCACAGCAGGUUGCAACUGGAUCAGCUCAAAGAGGUGAGAUGGCUGACAAUUAAGAAAACAGAGUUCAGUGAGGAAGAGACGGCUUGGUCUUCAACAGGAUGCCAGGAUCACAUUUUUAACACACCGUUUAAAGGGCUUUCUUGUCCGCAGCUGAACAUCCAGCAUACCACACAGAGAUGGAGAAUGACAGCACGCUCUCGAUGGUCGCCCGGUAGAAGGACACCAGCAGCUUCUUGUUCAGUCUGUUCCUCCGAAGCACCCUCAUGAAGUGCAGUCGCUGCUGGGCCUUUUUAACUGCUGCAGUGGUGUGUGCAGCUGAGGCUCUCUGAAAUUUGAACCCCGAGGAACUUAAAGGUGGGGACCCUCUCCACUCUCUCUCCAUUGAGUCUUGACCCCUUGAUGCAUCUCUUCAAGACAAGUUACUGGGCAAACACCAAACUGCAAGAUGAAAACUAUUGUCAUUGAUUGGAUGCCACAUCUCUGCCUAUUUGCAGAGACAACUCCCCAGAAGAAGAAAUAACCUGCAGUUACGGGGAUGCUGACUGGCCUUUGCACAAACAGUUCCAGGUGACAAACGGGCAUACUAAUCCAGAGGGAGUUGAGGAGGAGAGGCUCCCCUUAGACUUGACUUUCCCCGAAACAUCAACAAGUGACUGUGCUACGACCGAGUUCCAGGUGACAAACGGGCAGACUAAUCCAGAGGGAGUUGAGGAGGAGAGGCUCCCCUUAGACUUGACUUUCCCCGAAACAUCAACAAGUGACUGUGCUACUACCGAGUUCCAGGUGACAAACGGGCAGACUAAUCCAGGGAGGGAGUUGAGGACGAGACGCUCUCCUUGGAACUUUAUGUCUACAUAAGCAUCAAACAGUGACUGUGCUACUACCGAGGGAAACAAACGUUUGUGAAACGCAGCUGGACGUCAGCAGAAAGUGCUGCUGUGGAACAACACUUGGGUUAUGAAAUGGACAAUCAAGAACCAGGUUCCAGGGAAAGAUGCAUGUGAGGAUUGUAUCCCUGCCGAACCUCAAGCCCUAACAAAUAGGGACUGGGGAGCCGUUAAGUAUUACAUGAACAUUUCAAUUUCUUCUCUCCGAAUGUAAAUGAAAUAAAAUUGAACCAAGGAAAAAUACGUUCAAUGUUGAAAGAAGGAUUUCAAGUACCACUACCAAAACUAGGGGCUUUACCUAAACCAAACCAAAUUUUCAUUUUUGAAUCGUCAACUAAUAUAAAUUAAAGGGAAAUCCAUUGCAUUCCGAUUAUGCUGCUAGAAAGAAUCAUCCAUGUUUUCAAAGAUUUCCUUUUUUGCUUUUAGGGUUUUCUCUCUCCUGUAGUGUAGAAAAUAUCUUUUUGUGCAUGUAAAUGUUUUUCAAAGUCUAAAAUCCCUCAUUGAAGCAUGGAAACAUUUCACAGGAGAGAAACUUUAUACAAAUUUGAACCUCAAAAUGACCAGAAUAUGUCAUUGUUAAAUGUAACUCAAAAGGAGGUCAAAGUCUACUGAUUUGUUAGGCCUGUUUGUUUUGUUUUUUGGGUCAUGGGAUUGGUCAAGUUGUACAUUUUGUUUUAACGAUAUAGAAACACCCCAAUAAUAUACAAAUAAAUAUUUAUAGCAUUAAAAUAAUGUUGUAGAGAGUUUAUAUGAAUUAUACUUUUUUCUCAAGAAUUACUAAUUGUUGCCUCUAAGAAAAAACAAUGUUGAACGAAAAGGAUCUUUAGGGGAUUAUUGAUUUGGUCUCCAUGGUGUUUCAAUGUUACUGCCAUGUCUACUGUCUAGUUAUAUUCUAUGUUAAGAUGAGGCUAAUCACCUAAGUAAUGACUUAUUUUACCAGCAAUGUGAAUUUGUUGGUGUAAAAAAUAUCAGAGUAGAAUGUAAAUGUUCAUGAUGCUGUUCUGCAGUUUCUUUGGUAACAAGGAAAGUCCAUUCAACUCAAUAAUGUCUCUAGUAACUCUGAUCCCUUCCAAGAUAUGAAAACUAGAAAUAUGUGUGUGUCUGAUCCCUUCCAAGAUAUGAAAACUAGAAAUAUGUGUGUGUGUGUGUAUAAUGGACCUCAUAAGUGCUGACUGCUAGAAACUGGGCCCCACUAAGUGGGUAAAAAACUAGCAUAAUGACAAAAGCUUGGAAUUAUGUUUA